UCCAGUGUGGCCUAAUGGUUUGUGUCUUGGACUAUGGCUCUGGAGACCAGGGUUCGAUUCCCAGCUCAGCCA